rnacentral:rRNA from 1 species
UAUACCUCACCAGGUCCAGACAGAGUUAGGAUUGACAGAUUGAUAGCUCUUUCUUGAUUCUUUGGGUGGUGGUGCAUGGCCGUUCUUAGUUGGUGGAGUGAUUUGUCUGGUUAAUUCCGUUAACGAACGAGACCUUAACCUGCUAACUAGCAUGUGCGAUAUUGUCGCGUUUUGCUUCUUAGAGGGACUCCUGCGCAUUAAGCGUUGGGGAAGUUUAAGGCAAUAACAGGUCUGUGAUGCCCUUAGAUGUCCUGGGCUGCACGCGCGCUACACUGAUGCAUCCAUCGAGUUGUUCCUGUCCCGAGAGGGCUGGGUAAUCUUGAGUGUGCAUCGUGUCGGGGAUUGAUUUUUGCAAUUCUAAAUCAUGAACGAGGAAUGCCUAGUAUGCGCAAGUCAUCAGCUUGUGCAGAUUACGUCCCUGCCCUUUGUACA